rnacentral:tRNA from 1 species
GGGGACGUAACUCAGCUGGGAGAGUGUUGCCUUCGCAAGGCAAAAGUCGGGAGUUCAAAUCUCCUCGUCUCCACCA